GUCUUUUAUUUCUGGACGACUUUACACUCUAUGCGCAGGAUUAUCACCUAUGAAGACAGUCGCAGGCACAGAGUGUGAAGUCGCCCAGAACUAAAAGACGAUCACAUACAAUCAAAGUAGGCAAGUAAAUAUGAUUAUAAAAUAACAUGCCGUAUAUAACGCGUGCUCUGAUUGGUCGAAACCGCCCUGGUUGAAACCCGUGUUUGGAUCAGGCCAUCCAAACACGGAAAUUUAAACUGAAAGUUUUUUAAAGUGAAAUUUUAACACGGAAAGUUGUUAUUUUAUAAAACAAUUACUUUAUGGUUUGCGUGUUUGGAUGGCCUGAUCCAAACACUUGGGAAUGUUGCUCGAGUUAAGAAAAGCGCGCAAAAUCACUAGCCUUCGGCUCGUGUUUCGCGCGCUUUUCUU